GGGCUACAUCUAGUCUUGUAAUUGGAAUGAGUACAAUUUACAUCUCUUMACGAUGAUCAAUUGGAGGGCAAGUCUGGUGCCAGCAGCCGCGGUAAUUCCAGCUCCAAUAGCAUAUAUUAAAGUUGUUGCAGUUAGAACGCUCGUAGUCGGAUUUCGGGGCAGUCCGACCGGUCUGCCGAUGNAUAUGCACUGGCCGGAGUGSCCUUSUUGCCGGAGACCGUGCCUACUCUUAACUGAGCGGGGGCGGAGACGGNNCUUUUACUUUGAAAAAAUCAGAGUGUUUCAAGCAGGCAGCUCGCUCUUGCAUGGAUUAGCAUGGGAUAAUGAAAUAGGACUUUGGUGCUAUUUUGUUGGUU
rnacentral:rRNA from 1 species